rnacentral:rRNA from 1 species
GUGGGGAAUCUUGCGCAAUGGGCGAAAGCCUGACGCAGCCAUGCCGCGUGAAUGAUGAAGGUCUUAGGAUUGUAAAAUUCUUUCACCGGGGACGAUAAUGACGGUACCCGGAGAAGAAGCCCCGGCUAACUUCGUGCCAGCAGCCGCGGUAAUACGAAGGGGGCUAGCGUUGCUCGGAAUUACUGGGCGUAAAGGGCGCGUAGGCGGACAGCUUAGUCAGAGGUGAAAGCCCAGGGCUCAACCUUGGAAUUGCCUUUGAUACUGGCUGUCUUGAGUUUGGGAGAGGUGAGUGGAACUCCGAGUGUAGAGGUGAAAUUCGUAGAUAUUCGGAAGAACACCAGUGGCGAAGGCGACUCACUGACCCAAUACUGACGCUGAGGCGCGAAAGCGUGGGGAGCAAACAGGAUUAGAAACCCGUGUAGUCC